CCCGGUGCUAUUCGUGAUGGGGUCACACCCGUUCCCAUUCCGAACACGGCCGUUAAGCCCAUCCACGCCGAUGGUACUCGGACCGCGAGGUCCCGGGAGAGUAGGUCGGCGCCGGGA
rnacentral:rRNA from 1 species